UGGGGAAUUUUGGACAAUGGGCGAAAGCCUGAUCCAGCAAUGCCGCGUGUGUGAAGAAGGCCUUCGGGUUGUAAAGCACUUUUGUCCGGAAAGAAAUCCUUGGCUCUAAGUACAGUCGGGGGAUGACGGUACCGGAAGAAUAAGCACCGGCUAACUACGUGCCAGCAGCCGCGGUAAUACGUAGGGUGCAAGCGUUAAUCGGAAUUACUGGGCGUAAAGCGUGCGCAGGCGGUUUGCUAAGACCGAUGUGAAAUCCCCGGGCUCAACCUGGGAACUGCAUUGGUGACUGGCAGGCUAGAGUAUGGCAGAGGGGGGUAGAAUUCCACGUGUAGCAGUGAAAUGCGUAGAGAUGUGGAGGAAUACCGAUGGCGAAGGCAGCCCCCUGGGCCAAUACUGACGCUCAUGCACGAAAGCGUGGGGAGCAAACAGGAUUAGAUACCCUGGUAGUCCACGCCCUAAACGAUGUCAACUAGUUGUUGGGGAUUCAUUUCCUUAGUAACGUAGCUAACGCGUGAAGUUGACCGCCUGGGGAGUACGGUCGCAAGAUUAAAACUCAAAUGAAUU
rnacentral:rRNA from 1 species